UACGGGAGGCAGCAGUGGGGAAUAUUGCACAAUGGGCGAAAGCCUGAUGCAGCUAUGCCGCGUGUAUGAAGAAGGCCUUAGGGUUGUAAAGUACUUUCAUCGGGGAGGAAAAAACAAAACUAAUAAUUUUAUUUCUUGACGUUACCCGAAAAAGAAGCACCGGCUAACUCCGUGCCAGCAGCCGCGGUAAUACGGAGGGUGCUAGCGUUAAUCAGAAUUACCGGGCGUAAAGAGCACGUAGGUGGUUUUUUUAAAGUCAGAUGUGAAAUCCCUGGGCUUAACCUAGGAACUGCAUUUUGAAACUGAAAUACUAGAGUAUCGUAGAGGGAGGUAGAAUUCUAGGUGUAGCGGUGAAAUGCGUAGAUAUCUGGAGGAAUACCUGUGGCGAAAGCGGCCUCCUAAACGAAUACUGACACUGAGGGUGCGAAAGCGUGGGGAGCAAACAGGGAUUAGAUACC
rnacentral:rRNA from 1 species